ACAUUUCAGUAGUUUACCUAAAA
rnacentral:tRNA from 2 species